rnacentral:rRNA from 1 species
UACGUAGGUGGCUAGCGUUGUCCGGAUUUACUGGGCGUAAAGAGCGCGCAGGCGGUCGUUCAAGUCGAGUGUGAAAGCCCCCGGCUCAACUGGGGAGGGUCAUUCGAUACUGAUCGACUCGAAGGCAGGAGAGGGAAGUGGAAUUCCUGGUGUAGCGGUGAAAUGCGUAGAUAUCAGGAGGAAUACCGGUGGCGAAAGCGACUCUCUGGACGGCAACUGACGCUGAGGCACGAAAGCGUGGGGAGCAAACAGG